GAAAACAAGCAGAAGCAUCCCGCUUCUCGCCUAAGUUGACUGAAGUCCUUGGGCCGAUAGUAAUGUUUAUUUAAUGAAGACAUUGGCAGCGGGGAUAUUUUGUUCUCGUUGCUUUUUUGCUUU
rfam:Granulicatella elegans ATCC 700633 genomic scaffold supercont2.1, whole genome shotgun sequence.